GAAUGCCAAGGCCUGAAACCUUGAGUACUCAACAUCAUGGAAGAUGAUGCAUCGUGUUGGCUGGUCCCAGCUUGCAUGGAGUUCGUCAUUUACCAACAUCUUGCUAACAAUGCUAUGAAUCUGGGCAUCUGAGAGGUCAAACAUUUUGGUGAGCUGGUCCAGGCCUAGUGUAUCAUAGGAAGAACAGUAGGUAAAAAGGUAAGUCCUCAGAGCCUCUUCCUUGAUCUUAGCUUUCAGCAUUUCAAGCACGCUCUCUCUAUUCCUAAGGAGCUUCCAAACAUCAAGAGAAUUAAUGACGUCGAAGGCCUUCUGGAAAUCUCCCUUGCAGAGGGCCCGGGUUGCAGCCAUUACAUGGUCUCGCACAUUUUCUGGGGGACCUGUAAAUGGCUGCCUCUCACUCACCUCAAGCAACCGCCUGAAUGUCUUACUUAUCACAUUGCGUUUGGCGUCAAGGGAGUUGGCUGCCAUGUUAGGAACCUCAAGAAGCAUAGCACAUAUCAAAUGCACAGCCUCCAGAAGCUCAAGGUUUAUGUGCAUAUGGUAGGGCAUCUGACGCCUCCUUUCCAACCUUUCCUGAUAGAUCCAAUGUUUAAAAGAGUAUAAGUCCACAAAAAAUUGAUGAAUGUACAUAGCCAGUCCCUCUAUUAUAAGGAAUAGAUCAAAUUAGUCCCUUCACUGUUAAAUAGAUCAAUUUAAUCCCCGUACCAUUAAAAUGAAUCAAAUAAUACCAAUUUUCAACAGAGUUAAUAUUUUGAAAGCUUUUUAUGGUUCUACAAAUGAAAUCUUUUGUUUGAACUUAAACUGCAUAUGAAAAAAACAAUUUCAUGUCAUUUUUUAAAUAGUAAAUGUUAAUUUGCCCUUACACAAUUCUUCUUAAUAGCAUAAUGAUUAAAUCUAUCCAUUUAAUAGUAAAAGAACUAAUUUGCUCCAACACCUAUAAUAAAGGGACUCAGAAGGUAUGGCACUUUCACCUCAAAAAAUUAUAAAGUAGCAUGUAAGUGCACAUGUUAUCACGCUGUUCAGUUGUUCGCAAAUGAAGGGUAUGACUUGAACGCAUUUAUGUCAGAAUUUCACACAACAAGGGCUCAUAGAUCAACAUGAACAACCCACAAUUAUUCGUUACAAUUAUGCCAAUAGUUAGAUAUAUAGUAAUUAUUUCCAAAGUAAAAAGAACUGAUCAGUGGCAAACAUACUUCAAUAACUAGAUUUCCAAAUGAAUUCAUUGUCUUGUAACUGUUGUUUAUGCUACAGCAUUUGUAUCAACUUCUUAAAAUAUCCGAAUGCCUAAUAGAAACAUUGUGUCAAAAGAAAUAUCGUUCCAAUCCACACAGAAACAAUACCAUCUAACCAACCAAUCAAAAACUAUUUACUAAAGUGUAAAGCCAAAAAAAUAAAAUUAGCAUGCAAAAACCAUCAAAUGCAAACAGUAAAAGACAACAAAACUGUACAGACUCGAGGAUUAUCAGUUAAAGCUAUUGUUAAUUAUGAUCUGUCAAGGAAUUCUAUUACGAUCGAUACCUGUUCUGGGGUUUUCUCAUGAUAUCGACUUUGUGAAACACCUUGUGCAAGCAAUUCCUUCACCCUCCCACCAGAAUACAGUUCAGAAAGGCAGCCAUGUCCUUCAGCAAUUAGUCCAACACGGAAGGCACAGAGGCCAACCUGAGCCAUUGCCCGGUUAAAAAGUAUCUGUGUUGAAACAUCCAUAUGCUGAAUAUUAUCCUGUAAAUGACUCAUCAGCAGCAAAUCACGAGCUAUUGAAAACUCAUCAAAAAGGGCAUGAUGAUAAAUAUCACAAAGCAUUGCACGGGCUUUGGUCCUCUCAUCUCCACUUUUGUAUAUGAGAGUCACUAGGAUAUCCAUCAAUGCUCUACUAUUCUCGGGGAAUGUGGGCUUCCGGGACACGAGCUCAGGAGUAACAACAAACGCAGAUGUACCCUGUGUUUCCUCCACUUUAGUCUCAUCGCCAUCUGUUUCUCCAUCUUCCGAUAGCUCAGCCAGUUUCCUCAUAGCAUCAUAAACCUCUUGAGGCUUGUAAUAGACAAGUUCAACCCGCCUUAGAGCAACCUUAGCAGCAGACUUCAAAUCACCAAUACGCUCUAAAUACUCCUGGACAUUUUGAGCAAGGACCAAAAACAAAGGUUCAUCUCUCAGUCUCUCAACAUACUCACGAGUGUGUGGAUCAAUGCACUGCAAGCUCUUAAAGAACUCAUUAUCUAUUCUCUCAAGGAAGGCCACCAAAUUUCCCCAAACACGGAUUGUACCAUCAUAGUCUGCUCCCUUUUGGGUUUCAUUCUCAUCAGGCUCAACCCUAUCAUCGACCACAAUGUUCGGGUACUGAACAAGAAUGUCCAAUAUGACAAGCAUAUUCUGUACACAUUUCUUCCACACAUUUAUAGGCAUGUGUCCACUAAGACCUGGAUUAACAUCAAACUGUGCAGAGAUAACACUGAAAAGGAUCUCAAGCUUCUGAGCAGGAGUCUUGGCAACCUUUGUCAAAAAGGUAAGCUGCUCGACCUGUUCAAAUUUUCCAGUUCCCUUCCUUCCCCUAGCAGCCACAACUUCUUUAAACUUCUUGUUAACAGUAUCCCAGGUGAUCUCACUAGGAUCUUUCUUAAACUCCCGAUCCAUCAGCUUCUCUUUCUUGCUUAGUUUCUUCUCCCAGGCCCCAUCAGCAUCAUCAUCAUCCAUAUCUUCCCCCUCAUCAUCCUCAUCACUAGACUCAGCAGCAAUCUGUGAGGGGUCCUCCAACUCAGAGCCAGAUUCAUCUUCAUCCUCAUCUUCGUCCUCAUCUUCAAACUUCUCCUCUUCACUCUCAGGAUUCUCCCUAUACUUGUUAAUCAAUUCCUCAUACUGCUUAUUAUUCUUCUUGAGCUUCUGUUUCAUUGCGUUCAAAGCCUUGUGAUUACUGCUACUCAUUUUCUUUUUGGCUUCCUUAUUAGCCAAAGCUUCAGCUAAGAAAUCUUCCAACAUAACAAGACACUUAAUAUAAAGAUUUGGAACUCUUUCGGACUCGGUAACACGCAUAACCUUCUCCAACUGUUUAUUAAUCUUAUCAAAACUCUCUUGCAAGCUAACCCAGUCAUUGAUUUUCAUUGCAUUCUUCAUCUGAUCAACCGUACUUGCCAUCUCCUCAAACCUCUUAUCUUUGGCGGAUCUAACCACCCUCUUUUGCCCAUCGGAAUCAUCACUAUCACUAGCAUUUGUUUGUAGAUAUCUGCUUCCCGCAGCAGCAGCUGCGGUUUCUCCAGCUCCCCCAUUCUCAAUUUCAUCUUCGAUAUCGGUCUCCUCUUCCUCAGUGUCACUACCACCCUAUCGUAAAUUUAGAAAAAAAUUAUAUAUGUAUGACCUCCUCAAUACAAUAUUAGGUAAAGGCUAGAUAUUUUAAAUUCAUACGUCAAAAAAGAUAAAUUAAAAAAAAAAAAAACCAAACAAACCUGAGUCCAGAAUUUAGAUGCCAUUGGCUUCCCCUUUCUCGAGUUCAAUUACUUCAAAGCUGCAAAAAGAAAAUAAUAUGAAUCAGGCGUUAAUACGGAAAGCUGGAUGAACAAAAUAUGAGCUUAAAAUUAGCGACAACCAAAUUUCGGAUCUAUAAUUCCGUACUGCGAUUCAGGAAGGUAUUCAAUUUUUUAAAAAAAGAAGCACAACAGAGAAACAAAGUUACCUGACCUGAGGCUAGGGGUGUUCGAAAGUAUAAAACAUAUAAAAAAAUAACCUUGUGAUUUGCCAGGUAACUGAACACACAGACUACAUUUUCUGUCUUAAAUUUGUUCUGUCAUGUCCUUUUUAUACGUAAAAUUCUUUAAAGGUGAUACAAAGAACAAAAAAAAAAAGCUAUGUCUCUACUAAAUACUUCCCCGUGGUUAGGGGCAAAACUAAAAAUUUUGUGAAAGGUUUUCGAUAAAAUUAAAAGAAUUUUGGCAUAAACCCAAUCCUAAACUAAUCGCCAACACAGUCCAUUUAUCAAUAAACAAGGCAACUAAUUACACCUUGAAAAACCGAGAACCCAGAAAGAACCUGAAGGCAAAAGGGGUUCCAGCAAUGAUGAGCGACGACAACGGAGAACCCAGAAGAGUGCAAGCUGCUUGAGCCUUGAAAUAUCGGACGGUGGUGAGUGAAGUGACCGGACGGUGAAGGUGCGUCACUGCGUUGGGUUACGGUAGUCGGGGGUGACUGGUGGCUGUCGGCACACGGUAGUAGGGAGAUUUCAGAGGAAGCUAGAUAUUUGGGGAGAUAGAAUAUUAGGUUACUGAUUAGGGAUUUUUGUGUUAGUUUUUUGUUUUAGGAUAUGGACUUUCGGGUUGGGCUAAGGUUAUUGAGUUGGGAUUAGUGGUUAUUGGAAUGGGUUUAUUGGGUGGGCCGGCGGUUGGGUUUGGGUGGACAGUGGGCUAAUUAGCAAAGUCCUGUAAUAUAUAAUAUUAAUUUUUGAAAGUUCAGUUAAUUCGGUUAAUUAUCAAAUUUUGAGUCGAAUUAACCACUAAUUAAUUUUUUAAAAAUUAUUAAUUGACUUCUGACCGAAUUAAAUCGGUUAACCUAUCGGUUAACUGAAUUAGAUCAGUUCAGUCAAUUAUUCAAUUUUAAUCGAAAUUUAAACAUCUCUACCUAAGGUGACGAGUGAGUUCUCAACGUCGACUAGAUUUUUUUUUAUGUUAGCAGCACAUCAAUAUUCUACAUCUAUAUAUAUAAUUCAGCUAAGGGUGGGAUUUUGAUUUUUUUUUUUACGUAUCUAUGCUAGCAUGGGUUUUUUUUUUAAUGUACCAUGAGGUUUUUUUUACAGCGAUACAAUCCUAUUAUGUUAUUAAAUUAAUUAAGAGAAAAUAUUUAAUACAACUCUUUAGACUCUAUAAAUAUUUUAUAAAAAUGAGAUAUAGUAAAAUAUUAAAAAAUACAUAUUAAAAAAAUCGGGUCAAUUUUUUUAAAUUGUUUGUAGAAUAAAAAAAUACAAUAUCGAUAUAUCAACUAUUCACUCAUUAAUUAAAAAAUUUUAAAAAUGUUAUUAAAUCAAUAUUAGAAAAAUAUGAAUAGCUUUUGAAUUUACAUAUUAUUUAUUAUUAAUUAAUAUUAAUAUGGUUUUCAAUCCACAUUUUAGAUUGGCGUAAAUAUUUAUUUAUAUCAAAGUACAAAGUAAAAUUUUGAAUAUUAAAAUAUGCUCUAAGUUCCUAUUCUUUGAAAUUUAAUUUUUUAUUUUUAUUUUUAAGAUUUUAAUCCUUUUAUUUUCGGAUCUAAAAUUUAGGUAUAAUUGUCACCCUUCAUUAAAUUUCUUCUAUUAAAUUAUCUUGUAUAACAUUUUGAAAAUUUAAAUAUAUACAUAUAUAUAUUUGGUUGUCGUGUCACAAUAAAAAUGACACCAAAAGUAUUAAUCAAGAAUUUUUUUUCUUAAAAACAUUUAUUCGAGUUUGUUAUAAUAAAUUAAUUUCUUUUUGAUGGAAUAGUAUUCUUAAAAAAAAUUGACAUCAAUUUUUUGAUUGAAAUAGUUAACAAUAUUAAUUAUUUAGUCUAACUAAUAACAUUUCAAAAAUAAACAGACCAAAUUAUGUUAAAAAUUAAAAUAUAUAGAUUAAAUUUUAAGUUUCGGCAUAGUCUACGAGUCAAAUUUGAAAUUUGACCAUUUUCUUAUAAUGUAAAAAAACCAAAACUUCAAAUAAAUUUGAUGUCAUGCAUUCGUCUCUAAGAGUCUUAGAACAUUCCAAUUAUUUAUAACCACAUAAUAUUUUAAUUAAAAAAUUGACAAUAUUAAUUAUUUGAACUAAUAAUAACAUUAUAAAAAUAUAUAAAUCAUGUUAAAAAUUAAAUCUCAAUUUUAAGAAAAAUAAAAGAAUCAAAACUAAAAUUUAACUAAAAUUCUAAAAUGGAGAAAGAAAAAGAGAGUGUGGGUGUCCAUGUGUGUAACACCCUAUACCCGAUCUGGUCAUCUGACCCGAGUUAUAAGGUAAUACAAUUGUAAAACUUUAACAUUAUUCACUAUUCAGUCAAAAAUAAUUAAACCAUUCAUUCCAUAAUUAUAUUGCAUUAAUUUUCAUGUUAUUCACUCAUAUUUGAGCCUAAAUCGAGCAUAUGAAGCCUUUAAAAUAAAUUGGGAACAAUUCUGGACUAAAUUGAAACUUUUACAAAAAUUUAGGUAAAUAGUGAAAAUAGGGACCACACGAUCGUGUGGUCAGACCGUGUGACAGAGCUCAGCCCGUGUGGCUCAAAAACAUAGUUGUGUGGCCAAAUCGUGUAACUAUUUGUGACUAUGUAAUUUAGGGUCACACAGCCAUGUCGACAGGUCGUGUGACUCUCUGUGACCGUGUGGACAAACCUGCACCAAAAAUUAAGGAGGCCACAUGGCCGUGUCAUGCAACUAUGUGAGACACAACCGUGUGGCAGGUUGUGUAUGCCCAAAAUACCUUCAAACACAAGCUAAUUCACCUAAAAGUGACUAAAUGAUCCAUACUUGAUAAGCAUUAUAAGUUUAAACACUAUGUACACAAAAGACAUAUCUAUGUCAUGCUCAUCAAAUAACAUACACACUAAAUUUCAUACAUAAAAGCCCUAUACAUGUCAUUUAUAACCAUAGCCAAAAUAAGUCAAAAUUAGCUAAAAUGAUUGUUGGAUAGUGUAAUAGGUCUCCGACAAGAUUCCAACCGAUCAAGCUUCCGAUGACCUACAAAAUAAGAAAAACAAGUACAUAAGCAACAAUGCUUAAUAAGUUCGUUUAAGAGAACUCAAACUUACCAAAAACAUGAUUUCAUGAUUAACCAUUCAAGCAUUUUAAUCCCUAUAUGCACAAUUCUUCCUAUACACACCACAUCACAAGUUAGUAACUAAAUACAUAAUUAAUUCAAAGUUUCAUACAAACCUUUACUAAAUGGUUCUUACCAUAAAUCCUUUUCAAUAAACCUUUCCAUUUCUUAACCCUUUUAGGGUGACAACCUUUUUCAACCUUUUCAUAGGAUAUCUGUUUCGGAUAUAUCCUUUACAACCAUUUCAUUUGAUAUCCAUUUCGGAUAUACCCUUUUCAACCUUUUCAAGAAUUCAAAAAUACUGAAUGUAGUGCCAUGGUGUCUUUCAACCAUAGUCUUUUCCUUUUCAAGUGUAAUAUCAUAAGGUAUUUAAAUCUCGAUCCUUUCCUUUUCACAAUUCAAAGCAAUCUUAUACAUUAAAACAUAAUUACAUACACAAGAAAACUAUCAAAUAUUCUUACCAAUUCAAUUGUAACACAUAAUAACAUAAAAUACGAACUUACCUUGAUAAAACAGUUGUAAAAAUGAGGUCGAUGAUUAAUCCACCACUUUAGUUUUUUCUCGAUCUAAGUUCGUUUGAUUAGUACCUUGAUCUAAAUAUGAAAUUCAUUCAAUUAAGUAUUUAAAAUAGCUUAAACCAACCAUUUCCAACUUAUAACUCCUUUUACGAUUAAUUACAAUUUUACCCCAAUAUUUUAACUUUUAUACAAUUUAAUCCCUAAGACCAUAACUUGCAAAUUCAUUAUUUCUUAUCCAAUAUAUGCUAACCGAUUUUUCCUCCUACCUAUAUCAACUCACAUUUGUCCUCAAUUCAUAAAAAUAUACAUGAAAUUUAUCAUUUUAACAAAUCAAUCCUAAACCUUAAAUUUACUAAAAUUUACUUAACAAAACAUGUUCAUUUAACAACCAAAUUUAAGAAUAUAUCAUUUAACAUUAAAACACAACCAAACUCUAUCAUGGCAAACCCCUCAACCUUUAAUAAUUUUGCAAAUUAACUCAUAGGCGACAUAGUUUAAGUGAAAACGAGCUUGAAAAUAUAAAAAUCAUUAAAAACGGAGCUCAAAUACAUACCAUGCAUGAGGAAAUUUCAAAACUGAAGCUUUCUCCCUUCCUUUAGUGGCUAUUCGGUUUUGUCUAAGCCAAAAUAGGGAAGAUGAUGACCAAAUUUUCACUUUUAUUUUGUUAACAUAACAUUAAUUAUUAAAUUACUAAACUAACCUUUAAAAACUAUUAAAAUCACACAAAAACCUUUCCAUCACAAUCCACUAUAUUAAUAUAUGUUUUAAUUACCAUCUAAAUCCACUAUAUUAAAAUUUCAUAGCUAUUUAACCCUUUUAGCUAAUAGAUUUCUACUUUUGCAUCACUUAUAAUUUAACCUUUUUUAUUUAAUUAACUAUUUAAACAUUAAAAUUUCUUAACAAAAAAUUAAUACGACCUUAAAAUAAUCCUCUAGACAUUAAAAUAUUACUCACUUAUCGGAAUCGUGGUCCCAAAACCACUGUUUUCGACACCACUAAAAACAGGUUGUUAUUUGCAUUAUUAGCACAUCAUUGUCACUGUCAUUUGGCAUGUAUAUCAUGCCCGCAACACAACACAAUUCAAAAUAGCCAUCAUAUACAUCUCAUAUCACAAUAUCGCAUCAUAAUAAUCAAUCCACAAUUAUUCACAUAAUCACAUAAUCACAUAAUUUGCCAAAAUAAAAUAAGGGAAAUAGAAAGCUUACACUCGGAACUUAGGAUAGGGGUUUAGGAUAAUCAUAAGCUCCCAAUUAAUACUAUGAAUCAUGUCUACUAGCCGCGGUUCCAAACACUCACCAUUCACGCUUUCACCUUGUAACACCCCGUAUCCGUCGUUAGAGUAGGGUUAUGGAGUAUUAUCGACCAAUCGAAAAAUUAACAAUCAAUUCAUGAAUACUCAUAAGCAUGUAUUAAAUCAUAAAAAAAAUGUGAAUUGUCCCUAAAUCGAGCUUUAAAGGUCUUAAAAUUUCCUUAGAAACAUUUCAGGACUAAAUAGAAAUCAUUUGAGAAGUUAAAGAAAAAGUUGCAAAAUUUUGACUACAGGGGUCACACGGCUGUGUCCCAGCCUGUGUAACUCAUUGACUUGGGUCACAUGGCCAAACCACACGCUCGUGUGCCAGGCCGUGUAACUGUCUGACUAGCAUGCAAAGGAACCUACAGGGGACACAUGGUCGUGUCGCUAGGCUAUGCGUCACACACGGCUGAAAUAGAAAUCAUUUGAGAAGUUAAAGAAAAAGUUGCAAAAUUUUGACUACAAGGGUCGCACUGUUGUGUCCCAGCCCGUGUCCGUGCCCGUGUAACUCACUGACUUGGGUCACACGGCCAAGCCACACGUCUGUGUGUCAGGCCGUGUAACUGCCUGACUAGCAUGCAAAGGAACUUACAGGGGACACAUGGCGUGUCGCCAGGCCGUGCGUCACACACGGCUAAGACACACGCCCGUGUCUCAGGCCAUGUGGACAAAUUUUUUACCUAAAACAAGCAUUUUCCAAAUCCAAAACAAGCAUGAUCACUCUACCCAUCUAAGCACAUCUGAAAAGGGUCUUAAGUAACAACAAAACAUAGUCAAACAUGCUCAAGCAAGCAUCUUAAGUGCCUAAUCAAUGUGCACUCAUUGACACCACAUACAAUUCUAUCAUCAACAACUAAUAUACCAUCCAUAGGUAUCUCAAUCAAACUCAAAUAUACAAAUCAUUGAAUUUGAUAAAUGCACAACCUACAUAUAUCAUUCCCAUUCAAUUCACAACCCAAGUGACACAAAGAAUAGCUUUACUUUAUCUACCAAAAAAACAACCUAGGUAAACCACCAAAAUGACCAAAUCAUUUAAGCAAACAUUACUUUCAAGUAUUGCAUAAAACUUCAAACAUGUAUUUACAAUCAUUUACACUUAAAAAUUCAUAUUCCCUAGAACUUACUAAACAAAAGGGACAUUAUCACUAAAUUUGCAUCCUAGGUACAUGCCAAAAACACAAAAGAAAACAUCACCAAUAUUGAGUACGGGAUUCUUGAAGGAUGCCGAGUCCGGUUCUACUAUUUAUCUAACCUACAAACAUGUAAAUCAAUUUACAAUUAACAGGUUUCAUUUAUUAAAUAACCACAAGAACAAUCAAUAACAAUAUGAAAUUAUAACUUAACCAAAUAAAAAUUUUAGUUCUUUCGAUAAUUCAAGUAACCUUGCCGUAUGAUCUAUUAGCUACGUGGCAUUCGGUGCCUAGCGGGUAAACCGCAGAGGAGAUUACGCUCAGCGUUAGUCGGAUUAACCGACAGUAUUGAAUGUGAGCCCAGCUUUAGUUGGAUGAACCAACAAUGUUUGCGCCUAGCGCUAGUUGGAUAUACCGACAAUAAUAAAUGUGAGCCCAGCUCUAGUUGGAUGAACCAAUAGUGUUUGCACCCAGCAUUAGUCGGAUAGACCGACGAUUGUGUGCCCAGCACUAGUCAGACAAGCUAACAAAGAUUGCGCUCAGCGUUAGUCGAUUAUAUUGACAAAAUCCACAGUGAGCCCAGCUCUAGUCGAAUAUAUCGACGACUGUAUAAUUAUUUACUUCCACAAUUUCCUCAUUCAUUUUACUUUACAUUAAAUCGAUAAUACACAUACAUUUUAUAUCAAAAGCUAGAUUAGCAUUGUUUAAUUAAAUAGUAAUUAGAAAGAUUAAGUUCGAGUCCACAAACUUACCGGAAUUUUGCUCAUGAACAAUUAUUCAAAAGCUUUCUCUUUUCCACGAUUGGCAAUGGAAACUCUCGUUUCUCGAUCUAGAAAUAUUAAUUUAAUUAGAUCAAUUACUCAAUAAUUAUAGUUACACAUUUAACCAUUAACAAUUGUUAUUCAAUCAACUUAAUCCUUGCCACAAAUAUAACUAGACACCCAAUGUCCACAAUAAUGUCCUCAUACAACCGAGUAUAUUUAUAUACAUAGUCCUUAUACUCUUGGAAUUUAUCACUCAUUACCAUGCUAUCUGAAAUUUAACAGCAGCUACAUCCUUAUCCAUCAAUUCCAUUCAAAAUCAUCAUACAAUCACAUUAAAAUGACAAUUGAAAUUAACAUCUCUACUUCAUUUAAUUAUUUUUUUCCAGCUCAUAAACAUUCAAAGAAAGACAGCCCUUGCAUGCCAAAUUUCUCCCAACAACCUUAAACUCAAUCUCAUUAUUCAAUAUAUCACCAAUGUGCAAAUUAUAAGAUUAUCCUUAACAAGUUUUUCCCUAAAAUAUCCAUGCAUUUAAGCUCACCAUUAAAUCCAAAAGAAAAUUUAAACUACAUCUAUGGCAUUAUCCACUACUUCCAAAAUUUCUCCAUUCUAGCAUAAGGAUUAGCUAAAUUAAUCUAUUCCCAACUCAAAAAUAUAAUCAAAAUGAAAAUCCCUUUGAGAAAUACUUACAUGCAUCCAAAGAUAUCAAACAAAAUAACCAAGCUUUUCCUCUUAAACCUUCAAUGGUUUUUCGGCAGUAACAAAGAAGAAGAAAAACAUUCUCCCCCUCCCCACUCACUUUCUUUUCUUUAUUACUUUCUUUCCUAUCAACAUUAAUAUUUUCUUUUCUUUUAUUAAUUUCCCUACAUAUUAUAAUUAUCCUAUUAUAAUUUUUAAUAAUAUAACCUAUAUACAUAUAUAUAUUAUUCUCAUACUCAUCCACUAAUAAAACCCAUUUAAGUAAUGGUUUAUUUAAUUUCUAAGUCCUUUGAUAUUUAUCUUCUUUAUAAAUUUAGUAUUCUUUCCCACUUUUAUCACCUAUAGAUUUAGUCCCUUUAGAAUAAAAUAAAAAAAUUUAUUUAAUUAAUUAAUACUCAAUUCACUUUUAAAGUAACUCUCAAAAAAUAUAGUAAUAAUAUUUUUGAGCCCGAUUCGCCCAGGCGGGGUCCCAAAAGUAUGUUUCCCGACACCCCUGACUUACGGGAUAUUACACACCUAGUCGUCGAAAACUCAAACUAGCUUUUCCUUUCCUUUUACCUUGCUCGUCAAAGGCUCCAACACUUCUGUAUCUCCACCAAAGUUAACCACACAAUAACCAUGAUUAAAAUUAAGCUAUAGACACUCUUAAAACAACCAAAACACAGGCCUAAAUUAGUUCAUAUUGGAACCGAAACCUUCGACAUAGCAAACUUGAAACUCAAUUAUCUCAAUCUCCACUCAUCCUCUUUGCGUAAAACUAAUUCCAUUCAUCUAAGAUUAAUUCUUAACCUUUAAACUACACAAAACUACCCAAUUCGUGGCUACAAAAUUUUUCAUGAAAACUCAAUAAAACCAUAAAAUCUCUUAAUGAAACUUUACGGAAAGUAUAGAAACCUUCUAAUCAUGUCAAAAUAAAUUUAAAAAACACUUUGAAACAUCAUUUUUAUGCAAAAUCUCAAAUUUCACCAUUAAUGACUUAAUUUUCAGAUUUUAUUCAAAUAUUUCGAUUCAAUGGAUUAAAACUCAAUUUAAAAGACUAGAUAACAUAAAAAAAUAAUAGGAAAAUGAUUUUUAAAACUUUGGUAUAAUUUCUUUAUAACUACUCCUAUUUUGCACCCUUUUACAAAAUAGUCCUUAUUCAAAAUUAAAGGUUUUUUGAAACUCAUUUUGGAAAAUUGAUUUAAUUUUCUAAAAGCUAUAAACGAAGACAUUUCCGGUUUAUCAUGCUACGAAAUUCUGAGCAUAAAUGAGUUAAAAUUCUCAUUUUACCCUCAAAAUUACUAGGCCCAAUUUUGGGGUGUGACAUGGACGCCUUCAUAGCUAUCUAUUGAUCAAGCGUAUGUCUGUAGACAAGGGAAAACAUCUGAAGUAAAGAAAACACCUUAGUGGUGCAAUUUGUGGAAUGACCUCGGGACAAAGAUUCAAUGGCAACACCAAAAUGGCGAACUCUAAAGAGAAGCAUAACUAUCCAGUUUGAAACAACGAAAGAAUGGCGAGAAAUGCAUGAUGAUGAGAAGCAAACGAAAUCUGCCUUAGGAAGGUGAAAUGGAAAGUGAGUUGCCAAUACUAACCUGUAAGUAAAUCGUAUGAUACCGACUGAGGUAAGAAUGUUUACAGAAUAUGAAUGAGUACAAGAUAAGAAGAGAUUUAAUACAUGUUUUGCUGAGUUAGAUGAAUAUCUGUCUUGUUCCAUAAAGUAAAGUGCAAUGUUUACACCCUAUAUGAAAUGAUGAAUAAAAGUAUGAUAAUACCUCAUUAAUUUCUCAUGAACUUAUUUGAUUGAUUGUAGGAGUUGUUAAAAAGAAGGGUGGCGAGAGACAAUGCCAAGGCUACGCCAUAGGAGCAGCAGUCUCUGCUGAUAUGCAUGCAGAGAAGAAAAAGAUCGUGGCGAAGUUACAAUCCACGCCAAGGAAAAACUAAGAGAGUCAUACGAUUAGUUAGAAGUAUUGACAACACACAAAUUUACACGAGAAGCCUUAUGGCAAAGUUUAAGUCUACGCAUAAGAUGUAAUACUGUGUAUAGUGAUAGAAGUAAGGCGAAAACAAUAGUCAUAUUACUUUGAUUGUAAAUGUAAUAUUACAUUGUACAAUAAGUUUACACAAUAAGUAAAACGAGGUAUUUUAGGUAAAAAGACUUAGAAAUUUUAUUAGUUGAAUAGUUACAUAGGAAAGCAAAGUAGGAGUCUAAGUACGUCGAUCCUUAGGCGUAACACUCAAAACUCGGAUCCAGUUUAUUAAGUCAAGUGGAGGGCGUUACAUUAAGCGUUAAAUCAUUAAAUAAAGUUAGUAAAGAAGGUUUAAAAACGAAAGCCACAGAUGCUGAAGUGAAGUCGCAAUCAUUAGCAAAGACUAUAACAAACAAAGAUAGUGGAGUAGAUCCAGGAACGAUAGUAAACCACAAUUAAGCAAGGCCUCCAACCAUAGAAGUUACCUCUAAAAAGGUUAGUGAAGCAACAAGAGAAUUCAGUCAAGGAUGCUGGAGGAAAGGUUCGACCUUCAAAAGUUACAGAGGAGAAAACUAGUGAAGAUGGUAAUGGGACUUCAAACCAUGGUCCUAAAACAAAGUAGAAAGCUAAAGGUACGACUUGUUGGCUAAUAGUUAUUACAUUACAUGAAGAAAUCUUCUGCUGCUCGUACAUAUAGCUGCAUGUUGGCUUUUCCCUAUAUUCUUGCUUUUCUUGGACUUGGGUUAUAUUCUUACCCCUUUUUGUUAGCUAUCAUUCUUUUUUUAACACAAUUGUCAUUACAAUUUUGGGAGAUUAAAUAGAAUUUCGUAGGUGAGAAUGCAGUGAUACGAAGUACCUAUGCAAUUAUUUUUCUUUCACGAUUUCAUUUUUUUGGUUAAAAUACUAAAAAAAUUCUUAAAGCUAUUUUUUUUAAAUAAGCACUUAUCUUCUAUUGUACCCAAUAAGUUAUUAUCAUUUAAUUUGUGUGAUUAAUAUUAAUUUUAUUUCAAAUUUAAUGUGAUUAAUAUUAAAGAUUCUUUUUAGUCAACGUUUGGAAACUAGAAUUUUAGAAUUUUAGAUUUCAAAAAUAGUAUAAAUUGAGUAGUAACCUAUUUAGAAAUGUAAUAUUUGUAAUUUCUCGAACUCCUAGAUUUGUUAGAUGCUUAUAUAGUAAUGAAUUUGAAAUCCUUAAAAUAUUUUUAGAUUUGACAAAUGCAUGUUUCUAUGCAUUUUUUAGUGUAUAUUAUAUUAAAUUUCAACUAAUUUAUCUAUAAUAUACAUAUUUAUUCUUACCAUUUAUGUAAUAAAUGAAAUUCAAAUACAAAUUUUCAAAUUUAUAGGUCUUUUUUAAUUAGAAGUAUUUUCUUCGAGUACAAAUUAAAGUUAAAAUCUUAUAUAUAUAUAUAUAUAUUAUAGAGGUUAAGGGUUUUUUUCCUUUUGAUAAAAAGUUUAUUUGGAAGCAAUAAAAAGUAGAAGGAUUUUUCUAAACAUUUUUUUCUUUAAGCAAGGAAUAUGGAGAAGAAAAUGAAAAUGUGAAAAAUAGAAAUUUGUAAUCUACUAGUUUAGGAAAAAAUAAACAAAAAGAUUAAGGAAAAUGGACUAUUUUUUUAGCAAUUAACUUCAUCAAAUAAACCUUAAAAUCUUAGGAAAAAUCACAACAACUGGACUACAUAUAAUUAAUUGAUCACACAGUUAAAUAAAUUCUAUUAACAAAAUUAAAAAAAUUCAAAUAUAAUAAUAUUAGCAAUUAAUUUUUAUUAAACUAGCCUUAAAGCUUAAAUUAAAUAUUGAAAAGUUAACACUGUUACUUUUGGAUAUCAAAAUACAAAACUUUUGUAAAAUAUAACUAACACGUAUACCGCAAAAAAAAUGUCAAACUUGAGUAUCAAGUGAUGUAUAUUAAAGUAAACUGUAGAAUAUAAAAUGUCUACAAAAAUUUUAGAGUUCAAUUAAUGUUUAAGGAAUUAAUUUAAAAAAAAACAAAAUAAUUAAACAUAAUUUAAUAGAAUAUGCUUUUAAAUAAUUUUAAUUAUCUUACCUCUAUCCAAGAAAAGUACAACUUGCAUAUCAAUUUUCAUAUAUUGAAAACAGAUUUUUGAAAUUAGUACAAGAAUUAUUUUUUUCGUCUGAACCCAGUUAAAGGUUUGAUAAAGAUCGAUGUAAUAUCUCGUGUGUGAAAAAAAUUGGCCAACAUUUCUAUCAACAAAUAGAAAGUUGUUCAAGUUACCUACUAUCGUGGUUCGUAAUCUACAAAUCAUUUUGACUUUCUCAGAAUCAGAAAAGAAAUGGCACUUGCGAUUGUAGCAUAGAACAUCAUUAUCGGCUGAAAAUUUUACAACUAAAACCAGUGGGUUGAUGUGAGUACAUCAACUUUGAUGCAAAAGAAGUAAAGUGUACAAUCCCAAGGUUCGAUGUGUCAAGCAAGCACUUGAUAAAAAUCAGGAAUUCUGUUUAAUAUAAGGAACAUGAUUCAGCAUAAAACAUGAAAACGCCAUAAUGAGUCCAACAGCUAUUGCAUAAAUGGCAAAACACAAAAUCCAAUAAUCAAGUUCAACCCCAAGUAAAUAACUUUGACAAAAUUAGGUUAAGAUUACUGCUAAGAAAUACAACUAACCGCGAACACCCCGACUGAGACUAACCAUGCGAGCUGAAGCAUCCAUCUGGUAACCUCUCAUUCCUGAACCGGCUCUCCCAGAGUAUCCGCCUGUUCCUCGUGAUUGACUUGACCGAUCCCUUGAAGCCUGUCCUAAUGCCAAUGGUCUGCCACCACCAGUAUACGCGGCACGUCCAGAACUACCUUGCCUACCCUGAUUGUAGGACAAGUCUGGCCACCUACCGCCGCCACCGCCAGCUGUCCCAGCAGCAUAUUCCUGGUUAUCUCGCCGCCUUAGUGGCAGAUCCAAUCCACCACCACCAAAUCUAGCCUCGACUGCCCUCUCAUUACUCUCAGCAAGUAUUGAAAGCUUUUCUGUCAACUGGAAUGCCAAGGCCUGCAACCUUGAGUACUCAACAUCAUGGAAGAUGAUGCAUCGAGUUGGCUGGUCCCAGCUUGCAUGGAGUUCUUCAUUUACCAACAUCUUGCUAACAAUGCUAUGAAUCUGGGCAUCUGAGAGGUCAAACAUUUUGGUGAGCUGGUCCAGGCCUAGUGUAUCAUAGGAAAAACAGUAGGUAAAAAGGUAAGUCCUCAGAGCCUCUUCCUUGAUCUUAGCUUUCAGCAUUUCAAGCACGCUCUCUCUAUUCCUAAGGAGCUUCCAAACAUCAAGAGAAUUAAUGACGUCGAAGGCCUUCUGGAAAUCUCCCUUGCAGAGGGCCCGGGUUGCAGC
rnacentral:lncRNA from 1 species